UGACGUAUAUGGCCACGCCCAUCUCGGUGACGCCCAUCUCGGCGACACCCACCGGAGACUCCGGAAGGAAGGGCUGUUACCACGGCGUUGGAAGACAGGGAAUUAAUUUCAGGGCACCUCAGUCACUGAGCAAACUAAAUAAAUUAUCAGAAAAUUAUAAAAACUUUUAACUUUAGUGAGCAAAAUAAUAAGAAGAUGGCCGCGCGCUCUACGCCAUACUGAGCCGUUAGGAAGAAGCAUCAUGGCUGCAGUUCCUCUUAGGAGGCGUCGGUUUCCAUUCAGCAGAAAAUACAAUCUCUUGGGAGUUUAGGGCGGAAUCGUGGAGUAUCUCUGAGGGCCUCUUCAGGACCAUCAAGGUGUGUCAAAGGCGAAUUGGCUGAAGGGGGAUAGGGGGACAGUGGUCACAGAGUGGACCAAAUUUGUGGACGUUCUGAAUCCCCUGCAAGGCAAAGCACAGUGUGAAUGCACUGGAGUCACGGCUCAAGAGCAGAAAGGGGCUGAUGACUGGAAAACAUGCAGCAACUAUCCCAGCAGUGUUCACCAGAAACCAGAUGGAAUUAUUAACAAGAACCAAAUAAACUUGAAAGAUGCAGGAGAGGGAGUAAAAACAGACAAAGGUGCUCACCAAGAGAAGGAUGGUUUUAGUAGCUCUGGACUCAGGGGAAGAUCUAGGGCAGAUAUGGGUCCUGUGAAUGUGUUGCAUCCGUUCCUUGUGCCUGUACAAGACCAAAACCAUGGAGCUGCUACCACAAAGCAUGAGCCCCAAACAGAACACAUCUGGGAAGGACAGCAGUGCUGCAAACAGAAAGUUUGUGGUAUGAUUCUGACGAAUAGAAGAACAGUAUUCAAAAUCUUUUGUGUUGGUAAUGUUUUUGUUGCUCAAUUUUCCAUUUACAUAGAGAGGGAAAAUGAUAUUUAUUAGUAUCUGCAGGGUCCAGCAUAGCACAAUAGCAGGGCCAAUGUACUUGGGAGCUUUCCUUUUAAGCUCUGCCCACUUGGAGUUCCUGGGACUGAUGGUGAUGGCCUGGAAGACACUCAACAGGCAGGUGCUGCCAAUGGACACUCCCCUGCCCACUCUGUGAAUAUAGUAAGAGAAUCUGCAUUUCAUAUCACUGAAGGCAUAUAUCCACCCAAAAGACACUGUUGUAGAGGGGAUUCCUCCAGAGACAAUGACCAAAAUGUUGCCUACAAUCAGGUGCUCUACAAUGAAAUCUGAGGUCCUCAACCUGCACCCAGUGAAAUAAAGGAAGAGAUAAUGGUAAAGCAGAGAGAAGUUCCCCAGGAUUCCAAAUACAGUCUGUGAUAAGAAUAUCAUUCCUAUGGCCAAAUCCCUGGUGAACACCCUGUCAAUUCUCAGUUAUUGAUAUUUGUCUUCCGAGCAGGAGCAUACUGCAUGUGAAUAUGAGGAUGGGCCAACAUUUGUCACAUCAGCUGAAAUACACUAUUCUCUAUGUAUCAGCAGUUCUGAUGCAGAAAUUAGUUACUUACGGUUGUUCCAUCCAUUAGAGGCUUCCCAGACUGGCAUGUAUAACCAUUAAAAAAUACUUGCAAUGUACAAGUCACAGCUGUGAAAGUUAUUCAUAGAGUGACUUCUUUAUUCCUCACAAAUCUGUGAGGCAGUGAUGAUUAUGACUAUUACUUUCCUUAUAAAGAUGAGAACACAGGCACGGAGAGGUUAUGCACAUGGUCUAAAUUCACAGCCUUGUAGGGGCAGAGUGGGACUUAGAACCUGACUGUGCUGGUAACAAAAAUACUGUGUUUAAUCCAUGACAUGCUAAAAAAAACUAGUUCGCUGUACUUUUCCAACAAACCAGUUCUAAAAUAUAUUCUAAUUUUACACUUUGUUAUUUCAUGCUAUUGCUGGUAUCUUAUUUCAUAAUUUUUGUAGUUACGGUUUCCACUGAUUUAUAAAAAGUUAUUCUACUGACCAAUGCAAAUUUUGAGUAAGGCUUUAGAGAUCUUAUUGAAAUGUAGACGUAUAGAUUUCAGUGUAAUCCUAUAGGUACCUCCCCCUUGACAUUUGGAUUUAAUGAACUCAGGGUUGGCUUCAUAUAAUAAGGCUUACAGAAAGACUCAUUUGCUUUUAUCCCAGGAACAAAAGUAUAGUGGCAUCAAUCACAGGAACUACAGCACAUGAAACACUGCUGUCUGACAUAAAAGCAUAUGGUAGAAACUAAAUUAUUAGUGAUUUCUAAUCAUACUUAUCUAUCAAUUAAUACUUGAGUUAACUAAAAUCGUAUUAGCAAUAAUGCACUAUUUGUGACAAAUAUUAAAACAGGGGGCCCAGGCAAAAUGUAAUGAGAGGGUAGAAAAUAUUGUGCACUCUAUAAACUAAAACAUCGUUUUUUGAUUAUUAUAUUUCAAAGUAGGAGAAAUUUUUU